CCGUUUGAGUGUCGUGAAACCUCAACCUUCUCGGUUUCUUCUGGAUGCCGAAGGAGGCUUGGACAUUGGAGGCCUUUGCUGGUGUCUCUCUCUUUUGAAGGCCAGCUCCUCUUAAAUGAAUUAGCAGGGUCCUCUUUGCCGAUCCUUGACAUGUGAUAAGAUGUUUCCAUGUCUUGGCUUUCUGGCUCUGUUGCUUUUGGGACCCGCUUCUAAUCGUCUUGACCUUGCAUCGAGACAAAAGUCUGAGCAUGUCUCCCUUCUCGGGAAACACUCUCGACCCCACAAACCCUUGACCUCAAUCGGGUGAGACUACCCGCUGAACUUA
rnacentral:rRNA from 1 species